UACGUAGGUGGCAAGCGAUACUCGGAAUCACUAGGCGUAAAGCGCAGGUAGGCGGUUUGGUAAGUCUUUUGUGAAAGCUCCCGGCUCAACUGGGAGAGGCCAAAGGAAGCUACUAGACUAGAGUGUGGUAGGGGAUACUGGAAUUCCUGGUGUAGCGGUGAAAUGCGUAGAUAUCAGGAGGAAUACCUAUGGCGAAAGCAGGUAUCUGGGCCAUCACUGACGCUGAGCUGCGAAAGCUAGGGGAGCAAACAGG
rnacentral:rRNA from 1 species